GCAACCUGGCGCAGAUCGUGAAGAAUUACAAACAUCUGAAUAGGUUUAUAAUUUCUUAUCGAUAGUGUAAGGGUAGAUGUUUUUCUUCUUUCCUUUCCUUUUUUUAUCGUGAACUUAUAAUUAAUCUUCAGAAAUACCUAUGUUUUAAAGUUUGCAACAACGAUUGAAAAUGAACUGUAUUUCCUCAAUAUGAUUUAGAUACUUUCUUUUGAUUUAGAUACUUUCUGAUUCUUCAAUUGUACUUUUAUGAUUUCCAAGUCUUUAUAGUGAAUGAUGCAAAUCAGAGAUUUUAUGCUUUCAUGCUGCAACAAGAGGAUUUGUUUAACAAUUACACACUUAAAAUUAUACAGUUAAUAAACUAAUACAAUUAAUACCAAAAAAGAGAACUCUAUUUACAAAACGAUAUUUCCUGUAGUCCUUUAUUCAAAAUGAAAACUUUUAUUAAAAGAAUAAUCUUCUUCUAAUAUAAAAUGAACUCUAUUAAUCUCCUAAAUAUUAUUCAUUUUUACUUAAUUAUUUUAAACAGUAUAUCUUCUUACACGCGAUGUGUGAGACAAACAACUGUGUUUAUCAUCUAAUAAUAAUGUAUGAUAUUGGAAUCUAACUUACAGAGUAUCGGAAUGGCGUAUGACAUGUACUAAUGCAAAUGGUACGAUUUAUCAUCGAAGGAUGCGAAGGACUUGAUGUUUAUCGUACAUUGUGAUCUAAGAUUCCUCUUAAACUGCUGAAAAAUUCGCGGCCUUCGCAUUGGAGUUAUUCAGAGCGAUAACUGCCGCACCAUCUUUAAAAUCAAGCAACAGCCAUGUGUGUUUA